rnacentral:snoRNA from 1 species
UUCCAUGAUGAACAAGAGCAAUUGCUCGAUAUAAUCCCAGCUCGUCGAACGGCCUCGUUUAAAUUCCAACGUUGAGGUCGUAUUGAGAUCAAGUCCCGCCUGAACCC